AUACGUAGGAUCCGAGCGUUAUCCGGAUUUAUUGGGUUUAAAGGGUGCGCAGGCGGCCAUUUAAGUCAGCGGUUAAAUCGUGGGGCUCAACCCCAUUCUGCCGUUGAUACUGGGUGGCUUGAUUGCGGUCGAGGUUGGCGGAAUUCGUUGUGUAGCGGUGAAAUGCAUAGAUAUGACGAAGAACACCGAUUGCGUAGGCAGCUGACCAGACCGCAAAUGACGCUCAUGCACGAAAGUGCGGGGAUCGAACAGGAUUAGAUACCCUGGUAGUCCGCACAGUAAACGAUGAAUACUUGUUUUCGGCGAUAUAAUGUCGGAGGCAAAGCGAAAGCGAUAAGUAUUCCACCUGGGGAGUACGCCGGCAACGGUGAAACUCAAAGGAAUUGGCGGGG
rnacentral:rRNA from 1 species